CAGUCGCCGCGGUAAUACGAAGGGGGCUAGCGUUGUUCGGAUUAACUGGGCGUAAAGGGCGCGUAGGCGGGUUUUUAAGUCAGAGGUGAAAUCCCAAGGCUCAACCUUGGAACUGCCUUUGAUACUGGGAGUCUUGAGUUCGGGAGAGGUGAGUGGAACUGCGAGUGUAGAGGUGAAAUUCGUAGAUAUUCGCAAGAACACCAGUGGCGAAGGCGGCUCACUGGCCCGAUACUGACGCUGAGGUGCGAAAGCGUGGGGAGCAAACAGGAUUAGAUACCCGUGUAGUCCCUGUCUCUUAUAU
rnacentral:rRNA from 1 species